CGGGGGCAUCAGUAUUCCGUUGUCAGAGGUGAAAUUCUUGGAUUUACGGAAGACUAACUACUGCGAAAGCAUUUGCCAAGGAUGUUUUCAUUAAUCAGUGAACGAAAGUUAGGGGAUCGAAGACGAUCAGAUACCGUCGUAGUCUUAACCGUAAACUAUGCCGACUAGGGAUCGGGCGAUGUUCUUUUUCUGACUCGCUCGGCACCUUACGAGAAAUCAAAGUUUUUGGGUUCUGGGGGGAUUAUGGUCGCAAGGCUGAAACUUAAAGAAAUUGACGGAAGGUCACCACCAGGCGUGGAGCCUGCGGCUUAAUUUGACUCAAC
rnacentral:rRNA from 1 species